rnacentral:rRNA from 1 species
GGUGAGUAAUGCAUCGGAACGUGCCCAGAAGUGGGGGAUAGCCCGGCGAAAGCCGGAUUAAUACCGCAUGAGACCUGAGGGUGAAAGCGGGGGAUCGCAAGACCUCCGCUUUUGGAGCGGCCGAUGUCAGAUUAGCUAGUUGGUGGGGUAAAGGCCUACCAAGGCGACGAUCUGUAGCUGGUCUGAGAGGACGACCAGCCACACUGGGACUGAGACACGGCCCAGACUCCUACGGGAGGCAGCAGUGGGGAAUUUUGGACAAUGGGCGCAAGCCUGAUCCAGCCAUGCCGCGUGCGGGAAGAAGGCCUUCGGGUUGUAAACCGCUUUUGUCAGGGAAGAAACGCUCUGGGCUAAUACCCUGGGGUAAUGACGGUACCUGAAGAAUAAGCACCGUAACUACGUGCCAGCAGCCGCGGUAAUACGUAGGGUGCAAGCGUUAAUCGGAAUUACUGGGCGUAAAGCGUGCGCAGGCGGUUAUGCAAGACAGAUGUGAAAUCCCCGGGCUCAACCUGGGAACUGCAUUUGUGACUGCAUGGCUAGAGUGCGGCAGAGGGGGAUGGAAUUCCGCGUGUAGCAGUGAAAUGCGUAGAUAUGCGGAGGAACACCGAUGGCGAAGGCAAUCCCCUGGGCCUGCACUGACGCUCAUGCACGAAAGCGUGGGGAGCAAACAG